rnacentral:rRNA from 1 species
UACGUAGGGGGCAAGCGUUGUCCGGAUUUAUUGGGCGUAAAGCGCGUGUAGGCGGCCAGACAGGUCCGUUGUGAAAACUCGAGGCUCAACCUCGAGACGUCGGUGGAAACCGUCUGGCUAGAGUCCGGAAGAGGAGAGUGGAAUUCCCGGUGUAGCGGUGAAAUGCGCAGAGAUCUGGAGGAACACCGAUGGCGAAGGCAGCCCCCUGGGCUAACACUGACGCUCAUGCACGAAAGCGUGGGGAGCAAACAGG